rnacentral:rRNA from 2 species
AGAGUUUGAUCCUGGCUCAGGAUGAACGCUGGCGGAGUGCCUUAAGCAUGCAAGUGGAACGGUCGCCGCGAGGCGACAGUCGCAGACGGGUGAGUACAGCAUAGGAAUCUACCCUGGGGUGGGGAAUAACUCGGCGAAAGCUGAGCUAAUUCCGCAUAAGCCCGCAAGGGGAAAGGCCGUAACUGGCCGCCGAAGGAGGAGCCUAUGUCCUAUCAGCUAGUUGGUGGGGUAACGGCCUACCAAGGCAAUGACGGGUAGCUGGACUGAGAGGUCGGUCAGCCACAAUAGCACUUAGACACGGGCUAUACAUCUACGGAUGGCAGCAACUGGGAAUAUUGCGCAAUGGACGAAAGUCUGACGCAGCGACUCCGCGUGAGGGAUGACGGCCUUCGGGUUGUAAACCUCUUUUGCUCCGCCACAUGGCGGAGAGAAUAAGCACCUGCUAACCACGUGCCAGCAGCCGCGGUAAUACGUGGGGUGCGAGCGUUAUCCGGAUUUACUGGGCGUAAAGAGUUCGUAGGCGUCUGGUAAAGUUUCGUUUGAAAGACCGAGGCUUAACUUCGGAAACGGACGAAAUACUUAUCAGAUUGAGUUAGUUAGGGGGUACUGGAACUUCCGGUGUAGCAGUGAAAUGCGUUGAUAUUGGAAGGAACACCAAGGGCGAAGGCAGGUACCUGGGACUUAACUGACGCUGAGGAACGAAAGCUAGGGGAGCGAAAGGGAUUAAGUUUAGUCCCAUUCCGCAGUAAUGUGGAAUGAAAACUGGCUAUAUCGGUGGAACUCCUUGUUAUUUCGGGUUACCUUUGGUAAUCUGAAAUUAGGUGAGGACAAUACCGAGGGAAGUUAGUAUUCUAAGUAAAACUCAAGAAAAUGUUUUGAUAGGUACUAUUUUGGGAGAUGGCGGAUUGCGCUUUAAGGGUAGCGAAUGUCGGUUGCAUAUUAAACAUGCAGCUUGGCAACUGCCUUUGGUGCAAUACAAACAUCUGAUUUUCGAAAACUUUGUUU